rnacentral:lncRNA from 10 species
CGCCGCCGCGCACCCCUUCCCCGCGCUCCACGGGCAGUGGCUGUUUGGUGGCCAUUCUCCGUCCCUAGGACUGCCCCCCUCUUCCACAGUGGAGCUGGUGCCCGUCUUCCCACAUCUCUGCCCUUCUGCUCUUGCAACCCCUAUUGGGAAAAGUUGGAUAGACAAAAGGAUUCCUAACUGUAAGAUCUUUUUUAAUAAUUCCUUUGCUCUGGACUCAACGUGGAUACAUCCUGAGGAGUCAAGGUUUUUCCAUGGGCAUGAAAAGCCUCGUUUGCUGGCAAAUCAAGUAGCUGUGUCUCUGUCCAGGCCGGCUCCUGCCUCCAGGCCGCUCCCCACGGUGGUGUUAGCACCUCAGCCCAUCCCAGGGGUUUCAAGACGUCUUUGGAGGAAGUAACUGCUGA